UACCGAACCAAACCAAAUUGAAGUGGGUCGAGGUUCGAUGCAAGUGUAAAAGUUAGUUUAAAGUUAAAAUUAAACCCUUGCCAUUAUCUUCGUUCGUAUUCGUCCGCCAUUCUCCCUUCACCAUUCUCCAUUCGUCGUGGGUCUUUUACGGCGUUCUGUGCAAAAAUAUCACCCACCAAAACCGUCGUUCUCUGCCAUUUGUCGGUCUUCUCCGGCGUGGGUCUCCAUCAGCCUCCGACGUAGGUCUGGCUUCCGUCUUCCGUCUUCCGUCUUCUGUUCACGUGGGUGUUCGUAGUAUCUUCCGUCUUCUUGGGUUCUUCGUCUCUCAUUCUCCAUCAGUCUCUUCUCCUUUGAGGUAGUUCACUGAAUUAGUAAACUCCUUCUCUAUGCAACAAGGGAGAGGUGGAAAGCAACUUGGCUAGAUUUGUGUAAUAAACUAAUAGGUGAAAAGUUAAAUGUUGGAGACCCACAUUGUUCUUUCAUUCAAGCAUUGUUGAUAGCUCAAGCUUUUGAUCCAUCCAAGCUUGUAAAUUAUAACAUACUGCACCAAUUGCACUAUUAUGGUGAUUGUGAUGAAUGUGUAUGAGAGUCAAAUUUAUUAAAAUUAGUUAUCUUGCAAUCACCAUUGAAAAGAAAGAAGAAAUACACAAAAAGAAGAUUCGACCCGACCCGAUCCAUUUUGACCCGACCCAAAUUCAGGUCAGGUUGGAUCAUAACAGUAAGAAAUCCAUGCAUUUCAAGUCGGGUCGGGUUGGAAGAAAAACUGACCCGACCCAGCCCAAUUAUAUCCCUAGUGUAACAUAUAUAAAUGAUCAAUGCUUGUGUUAUUGGUGUUUCUAAAUUUGUGAUUUCGAUAUUUUCUUCUUUA